CUUGAUGAUACACUGUCAGGUCCAACCCUCUUCUCUUGAUGAUACACUGUCAGGUCCAACCCUCUUCUCUUGAUGAUACACUGUCAGGUCCAACCCUCUUCUCUUGAUGAUACACUGUCAGGUCCAACCCUCUUCUCUUGAUGAUACACUGUCAGGUCCAACCCUCUUGAUGAUACACUGUCAGGUCCAACCCUCUUCUCUUGAUGAUACACUGUCAGGUCCAACCCUCUUCUCUUGAUGAUACACUGUCAGGUCCAACCCUCUCUGCUUGGGUCCACAUGAAUAACCUCCACAUGGCAGGGCUCUACAGAGGGUACAUUUUACUUACAUUUGCGCCUAAAUAUUUUGCUGUGCAACCUGGAAUUUGAAUUUAGGAGCACCAGUGCACCUAUAAAAAUGAAGUAUUCUCGCUACGUUGUUCAACCUGUCAACGUAGUGUGGUAUGUGCUUUCUGUUUGACAUGUAACAUUAUGGAUGUAAAUUGUGAUUGUUGAAGUUAGCUGCAGCCACCGACACCAGCCCUGGAUCUCAGUCUGAAUCAUAAAUGAUGCAAAAUAACUCUGAACCUGAUGAAACACAGGACCUGUUCGUAGACGGGGCUUCAUGCAGCCUUGGAAUAUCAACAACAACAACAACAACGUUGAAAGUACGUCUUGUGCUCACUGGGAUACCGAUACAGCUCCAGGGAUAAACAGAGCUCCUGAUUGAAUCGAUCCCCAGGUCGGUAUGUUGAACCCAGCUGGAGGUGUUUCUCUGUAUUCUGAAACACCUGUUCCUUUAACCCACCUGGUGAUGGUAAAGGGAAACUCUAUACUUGAAAUCAAUGUGUUUUUAUUCAUCAGCUGUAUAGUAGGCUUUCUUUAGUUAACCAAAGCCAUAACUAGUCAGUUUAUCAUAUUUUAAUAUAUAUACCAUGUGAUUAUUUAUUUGUUGGUGAUAUUUACUAUAGAAACCAAGUGGCUGGUUCUCUUGGUUCCUGCUGUCAAAGGUCUUUGAUCUAGCUGCUCAUCAUCCUUCAUCUUCUUUAUAACCAAGUGGCUGGUUCUCUUGGUUCCUGCUGUCAAAGGUCUUUGAUCUAGCUGCUCAUCAUCCUUCAUCUUCUUUAUAACCAAGUGGCUGGUUCUCUUGGUUCCUGCUGUCAAAGGUCUUUGAUCUAGCUGCUCAUCAUCCUUCAUCUUCUUUAUAACCAAGGUGGUUCUCUUAGU